UGGGGAAUAUUGCACAAUGGAGGGAACUCUGAUGCAGCGACGCCGCGUGAACGAAGAAGGCUUUCGAGUCGUAAAGUUCUUUUAUAUGGGAAGAUAAUGACGGUACCAUAAGAAAAAGCCCCGGCUAACUACGUGCCAGCAGCCGCGGUAAUACGUAGGGGGCUAGCGUUGUCCGGAAUCACUGGGCGUAAAGGGUUCGCAGGCGGAAAUGCAAGUCUGGUGUAAAAGGCAGUAGCUUAACUACUGUAAGCAUUUGAAACUGCAUAUCUUGAGAAGAGUAGAGGUAAGUGGAAUUUUUAGUGUAGCGGUGAAAUGCGUAGAUAUUAAAAAGAAUACCGGUGGCGAAGGCGACUUACUGGGCUCAUUCUGACGCUGAGGAACGAAAGCGUGGGUAGCAAACAGG
rnacentral:rRNA from 1 species